ACUCCUGAGCCAGCGAGACCACGAACCCACCAGAAGGAAGAAACUCUGAACACAUCCGAACAUCAGAAGCAACUCCGGACAUGCCGCCUUUAAGAACUGUAACACUCACGGCGGGGGUCUGCAGCUUCAUUCUUGAAGUCAGUGAGACCAAGGAACCACCAAUUCUGAACACAAUGUGAGAACUUCACUGAAGCAGAAUUACCAAAGAAACCAGCUUCUUCAUUACAGGCUAUCGGUGUAAUUCACAGCCCACCAGAAAGAAACACACCUUCUUAAGCUGACUUUUGUAUAAGGCUCGUGCUUUAGUGGUCCUCGGGAUGACAAUCAUGACUUUGUCAGACUGACACAACCCAGACUCAUGACUUAUGCCUCAACAAGACCUUGGGCUUCCACCCAGAGAAGGACUCCGUGCACAAGGAUCAUUUUUCUUACCCUUAUCAUAGCAUCCACAACCAAUUGGCAGUACCCAUUGCCUAACCCCUGCCCACUAAACCACCCUUAAAAACCCCUAACUUCCAAGGCUUUAGACAGAAUUGAGUAAUAGCUUCAUCUCCCAUGUGGCCGGCCU
rnacentral:lncRNA from 1 species